rnacentral:tRNA from 1 species
GCACUGGUGGUUCAGUGGUAGAAUUCUUGCCUCCCAUGCAGGAGACCGGGAUUCAAUUCCUGGCCAGCGUA